UUAAAAAUAAGCUAAAAAAGCUUUUGGGUUCAUACCCCAAAUAUAAAGAUAUCAUUCUUUUUUUUAAA
rnacentral:tRNA from 1 species